AUUGAACGCUGGCGGCAUGCUUUACACAUGCAAGUCGAACGGUAACAGGUUAAGCUGACGAGUGGCGAACGGGUGAGUAAUGCAUCGGAACGUGCCCGAUCGUGGGGGAUAACACUUCGAAAGAAGUGCUAAUACCGCAUACGAUCUGAGGAUGAAAGCGGGGGACCGUAAGGCCUCGCGCGAUCGGAGCGGCCGAUGUCAGAUUAGAUAGUCGGUGGGGUAAAGGCCUACCAAGCCGACGAUCUGUAGCUGGUCUGAGAGGACGACCAGCCAAACUGGGACUGAGACACGGCCCAGACUCCUACGGGAGGCAGCAGUGGGGAAUUUUGGACAAUGGGCGCAAGCCUGAUCCAGCAAUGCCGCGUGCAGGAAGAAGGCCUUCGGGUUGUAAACUGCUUUUGUACGGAGCGAAAAGGCUCUCUCUAAUACAGGGGGCUGAUGACGGUACCGUAAGAAUAAGCACCGGCUAACUACGUGCCAGCAGCCGCCGUAA
rnacentral:rRNA from 1 species